rnacentral:rRNA from 1 species
UACGUAGGGGGCAAGCGUUGUCCGGAUUUAUUGGGCGUAAAGAGCGUGUAGGCGGCUAGAUAGGUCCGUUGUGAAAACUCGAGGCUCAACCUCGAGACGUCGAUGGAAACCAUCUGGCUAGAGUCCGGAAGAGGAGAGUGGAAUUCCUGGUGUAGCGGUGAAAUGCGCAGAUAUCAGGAAGAACACCGAUGGCAAAGGCAGCUCGCUGGGACGGUACUGACGCUGAGGCGCGAAAGCGUGGGGAGCAAACAGG